UACGGAGGGUGCAAGCGUUAUCCGGAUUCACUGGGUUUAAAGGGUGCAUAGGCGGGUAUAUAAGUCAGGGGUGAAAGCUCCGGGCUUAACUUGGAAACUGCCAUUGAUACUGUAUAUCUUGAAUGUCGUUGAGGUUAGCGGAAUGUUGCAUGUAGCGGUGAAAUGCUUAGAUAUGUUGCAGAACACCAAUUGUGAAGACAGCUAACUAAGCGAUGAUUGACGCUGAGGCACGAAAGCGUGGGGAGCAAACAGG
rnacentral:rRNA from 1 species